UACGAGGGGGGCUAGCGUUGUUCGGAAUCACUGGGCGUAAAGCGCAUGCAGGCGGAUCGAUAAGUCGGGGGUGAAAUCCCGAGGCUCAACCUCGGAACUGCCUUCGAUACUGCCGAUCUGGAGUCCGGGAGAGGUGAGUGGAACUGCGAGUGUAGAGGUGAAAUUCGUAGAUAUUCGCAAGAACACCAGUGGCGAAGGCGGCUCACUGGCCCGGUACUGACGCUGAGAUGCGAAAGCGUGGGGAGCAAACAGG
rnacentral:rRNA from 1 species